GUCCUUUUGAAUUUAAUUUAAGGUCUGGCCUGCCCAGUGAUUAAUUUAACGGCCGCGGUAUAUUGACCGUGCAAAGGUAGCAUAAUCAUUAGUCUUUUAAUAGAGGGCUGGAAUGAAAGGUUUAACGAGGAACUGACUGUCUCAUUUUAUUUGUAUUAAAAUUUAAUUUUUUAGUUAAAAAGCUAAAAUUUAAUUGGAAGACGAGAAGACCCUAUAGAUCUUUAUAUGGUUUAUUAAAUUUGUAACAUAUUAAUACAUUUUAUGAAAGCUGUAUUUUGUUGGGGUGACAAAAAUAUAAAACUAACUUUUUUAUUAAUUAACCAUUAAUUUAUGAAAAUUAGAUCCACUUUUAGUGAUUAUUAGACUAAGUUACCUUAGGGAUAACAGCGUAAUCCCCUUCCAGAGUUCAUAUUUACAAGGGGGCUUGCGACCUCGAUGUUGGAUUAAGAUAAUAAUUAGGUGCAGCCGCUUAAUAUAUAGGUCUGUUCGACCUUUAAAUUCUU
rnacentral:rRNA from 1 species